rnacentral:rRNA from 1 species
UACGAAGGGGGCUAGCGUUGCUCGGAAUUACUGGGCGUAAAGGGCGCGUAGGCGGCACUGUUAGUCAGGCGUGAAAAGUCCUGGGCUCAACCUGGGAACUGCGCUUGAUACGGCAGAGCUAGAGGAUGGAAGAGGCUCGCGGAAUUCCCAGUGUAGAGGUGAAAUUCGUAGAUAUUGGGAAGAACACCGGUGGCGAAGGCGGCGAGCUGGUCCAUUACUUGACGCUGAGGCGCGACAGCGUGGGGGAGCAAACAGG